rnacentral:lncRNA from 1 species
UUUUUUUUUUCUAAAAAAAUUAGAAAAAUAUGUCUGAAGAUGGACAUGAGGUGAACUCUGAUUUGCAGAAGAGAUUCCCUUGUUUUAUUUUUCUUUUUUUUUGUUGUGCUGUGUUUAAUUGGCCUCAAGAGUGAUAACAUACACAGGAAUACAUUAACUCGUAAAUCGGGAACAAGGUUCUGCACAAGCCAACAUGACUACAUGAGUACAUGGCCUUCAUCUCCUUGAUUCAAAAAGAUCUGAAUCUAGCCAAAUAUGUUAAUCUACAACAAACGGUGUGAUGUGCCCGCAUCGAGACAUUUAUAAUUGUUCCGACAAUUUUUUUUUAGGACUAAUCCGACAGUUGGAAUCUGAAUACUCUAGCUAACAUUUACUAGUCAAUACAGAGUGAACAUCCAACAAGAAACUGGAAACAGCCGGAAACUGCAGGUUAGACGAACACUAGCCUAUAACAAAACUCAAAAGCCAAGGAUAUGAAUGAAGAGCUUGAUUUCUCUGAACACAUUGUGAUACACUGAUAUUUACCAAAUCAAACUGAGCUGAUCAAUCAGCAAGGAGCUGUUUCCAGGCCAAUAACAUCCAUCCAUCAGUUUAACCGUGAAAUUUCUUUAAUCAAGGGUCUAUACUUCUAGCCGCAUCCAGUAAUACUAAUUUGGCCCAUAGGUAGACACGUAAUAACAUUAUAACAAGAGAUUACACAAGUUUUAUUUUGCAAUGGCCAAAUAAUCAAACAUGUAAUCAGACAAUCAAACAUGUAUAUAUCAACAAUAUGAUCCAAAGAAUAAAAUAGUAAUAGUCACGGACCAAAUAAUCAAAUCAAACAUGUAAUCAGACAAACAUGUAUAUAUCAAUAAUAUGAUCCAUAAUAUGAUCCAAAAAGGAAAAAGGUUUGGAUUAAGCCAAGCUUUCAUAAAAAAAAAUAUGAUUAAUAUUAUGAUUCUAUGCACAUUUAACCUGAUGGACGGUCCAGUAUCAGUAGCUCUAAUCAAACUUCUAAUGAAAAUCAAGAACUGCAUUCUUUUUAGGUAGUAGGUUUUAACCAGUCUCAAAAAUUGAAAAAUGCCAGAACCUGAAGUGAACAUUCAGUCAAAAGAUUUAGGUGCGACAAACACCAGUAAAAAAAAUUGAUAGCCAACCAAUUUAGUAAAAUUAACUGACAUAGCAAAAAACAAUAUUCAACACAUAUUUUAAAUUCCAACAUCACAUUUAUUUAGAAUUAAGCCAUAUGCUGCCGCACUAUAGUUUAGGGUAGAACACAGAGGAACACAACCGGUCCAUGAAACGAACUCAGACACGACACAGACCAUACAAAUGCUUCCAUACAAAUACUUCAGACUGACCAACGCUUCAAUGACGGACCAUACAGAUACUUCAAAGACUGGACAUGGCCGAAACAAGAGGCACUAGACAACCCAGGUGCGGCAGCAGCUUCAACGACUGAUGGCUUACUGACCACCGCGAAGACGGAGCACCAGGUGGAGGGUGCUCUCCUUCUGGAUGUUGUAGUCUGCAAGGGUGCGACCAUCCUCCAGCUGCUUGCCAGCGAAGAUCAGACGCUGCUGGUCUGGGGGGAUACCCUCCUUAUCCUGGAUCUUAGCCUUCACAUUGUCGAUGGUGUCAGAGCUCUCAACCUCCAGGGUUAUGGUCUUGCCAGUCAAAGUCUUCACAAAGAUCUGCAUACCACCCCUCAGGCGGAGCACCAAGUGGAGGGUGCUCUCCUUCUGGAUGUUGUAGUCCGCAAGAGUACGGCCAUCCUCCAGCUGCUUGCCAGCAAAGAUCAGACGCUGCUGAUCCGGGGGAAUGCCCUCCUUGUCCUGGAUCUUGGCCUUCACAUUGUCGAUGGUGUCAGAGCUCUCAACCUCCAAGGUGAUGGUCUUGCCCGUCAAUGUCUUCACGAAGAUCUGCAUUCCUCCCCUGAGGCGGAGCACCAGGUGGAGGGUGCUCUCUUUCUGGAUGUUGUAAUCCGCAAGGGUGCGGCCAUCCUCCAGCUGCUUGCCAGCGAAGAUCAGACGCUGCUGGUCCGGUGGGAUGCCCUCCUUGUCCUGGAUCUUGGCCUUGACAUUGUCGAUGGUGUCCGAGGACUCCACCUCAAGGGUGAUCGUCUUGCCAGUAAGGGUCUUCACGAAGAUCUGCAUGCCUCCCCUAAGGCGCAGCACCAAGUGGAGGGUGCUCUCCUUCUGAAUGUUGUAAUCAGCGAGAGUGCGCCCGUCCUCCAGCUGCUUGCCGGCGAAGAUGAGCCGCUGCUGGUCAGGGGGGAUGCCCUCCUUGUCCUGGAUCUUGGCCUUGACAUUGUCGAUGGUGUCCGAGGACUCCACCUCAAGGGUGAUAGUCUUGCCGGUCAGGGUCUUCACAAAGAUCUGCAUGCCUCCCCUGAGGCGGAGCACAAGGUGGAGAGUGCUCUCCUUCUGGAUGUUGUAGUCGGCAAGCGUGCGCCCGUCCUCGAGUUGCUUGCCGGCAAAGAUGAGCCGCUGCUGGUCUGGGGGGAUGCCUUCCUUGUCCUGGAUCUUGGCCUUGACGUUGUCAAUGGUGUCAGAAGACUCCACCUCAAGGGUGAUUGUCUUGCCAGUCAAGGUCUUGACAAAGAUCUGCAUGCCUCCCCUGAGGCGCAGCACCAAGUGGAGGGUUGACUCCUUCUGAAUGUUGUAGUCGGCAAGCGUGCGGCCGUCCUCAAGCUGCUUGCCAGCGAAGAUAAGCCGCUGCUGGUCAGGAGGGAUGCCCUCCUUGUCCUGGAUCUUGGCCUUGACGUUGUCUAUGGUGUCAGAAGACUCCACCUCAAGGGUGAUAGUCUUGCCGGUGAGGGUCUUCACAAAGAUCUGCAUCUGCAGAGAAACCAAACAAAAGGGUAAGCAUAUAGUAGUACACCAAGUAGAAAAAGAAGCAACCAUAAACAUGUAACAUGUAGGUGGCACAGAAUCAAGGAACAGUAGCAGUGAAUAACAAGAGCAUGCAUGCUCAUCAGGUAGAUGCUAAAGAAUUAUCGAAUCAAACAGCAGCCACAUAUAUUUUAAUCUUUCUAAGCAUGCAUAUCAAACAAAACAGGACAAAGCAUGCGCAUCAAGUAAUAGCUAAGUAGGUCGAUGCAUAUUUUCUCGAACAUCAGGCAAACAUGAAUUCUUAUGUAUGUUUUCUCCAACAUCAGGCAAACAUGAAUUCUUAUUAAGACAGCCACAGAGUUCAACGAAUAAGCAUGAUGCACUUUAAUCAGACAAAAGCUACAGCCUCGGCAGAAAACCGCAGCAUAUAUCUUAAGCACAUAUUUCAUCCAUCAUAUAACACAUGCAGAUCCAAAUUUAAUAAGACAAGCAGCUAGUUCAUACUAGCUCAUAUCAAUUCUAUAUGAACAUAUAUGUUAAAACAGGCAGAUCCAAAUUUAAUAAGACAGCAGCUGGUUCAUAUGACUUGAUCUGGACGGGCAUCAGAACCAGCACCAAAAACAACAAAACUAGUAUGACGAACCAGACGCACAGGCCUAGCUAGGGACAUCAAACGAGAUCAAGGAUAAAUAAAUCAGAGUCACCCUACUUGUUUCCAUCUAAUCUAAUAGGACGAUCAAUACAUCAUUCUGCAUCAGAUACAACCUAAUCACAAGCCCAAAUAAUCAUAACAACCCAACCCUACAAGGGUCCCACAGUUACCAGAGAGUACUCGGCUUCUAGAUCGAGAGCCCCCAUAACAAAUCGCUACAGUUACCAGAGAGAGUACUCGACUUCUAGAUCGAGGGCUCCCAUAAUAAAUCGCCACAGUUACCACCAGAUCGAGACCAUAAUAAAUCGCCAGAAAGAUGACUCGCAGCCCCAAUAACCCAUAAUCGAGAGGAGGGGAGGGGAGAAGCGAAAGCGGGAGGACGAUCGCCGUACCUUGAAGCGAGGGAAGGGGGCGAUCGACGAGGCUCGGAGAAGAGGGAUUGGGAUCGGGCUGUGUCCGUGGACGCCGAACAACACGAGGGACGAAGACGAGUUGGGGGGAAAGAGGCGAGGAGGGGGUGGCUAUUUAUGAGGAAAAAGAAGGGCAGGGGGAGGGGAAGGAAAAAUCGUGGUGCCGUGUGCCGGGACGGUUUCGUGCCGUGUGAGACCAGCCCGCCUCGGCUCCGCUCCGCCACGCAAUUUCCGGGAUGCCGGCAGGCAGCGCAUUCGAGAGCAGCCGAGAGAGAUGCCGUUCAAUGCUCUGCGUCAACGGCUCUCUCGGCCAUCUUGCUUAGCUGUUUUUUUUUUUACAAUGAAACUAUGGCCUUGUUUAGUUUCAAAAAUUUUCAAGAUUUUCCAUCCCAUCAAAUUUUACGGCAGAUGUAUGGUGCAUUAAAUAUACAUAAAAAUAAAAACUAAUUACACAGUUCAUCUGACAAUGUUUAUCAAAUAAAAACAAAAAUGCUACAGUGUUAAAACCCAAAAUUUUUGCCAACUGAACAAGGCCUAUAUGAUUAACAGCGUGUUACGGUUAGGACCAUUAUAGAGUUAAUAGUUAUAUUUGAGAGUGUCGAAAGUAAAGGACACUUUUGCUCAUGAGCAGAAUGACAACAAGCACUAUUAAGAGAGAUUUGAUUGCAAACUAAUUCACUCAGAGCCUAUCUAGCUAGUUGAUCAGCCAUAUGAUUCUGGUAAUCUUGCGAAUCGCUAUAGUUGUACCAUGAAUCUUGGAGCUGGUAAUUUGAAUGUAGGAUUUAAUUCUCCAUCAGGAUGAUGAUCAAACUAAGACCCGUUUAGAAAGAGUACUAACUAUUGAUUAUCUGUUAAAAUAGUGGAAUCAAUCAUGUACAUAGCUUCUAGCACCGUGGUUGCUAGAGUAAGGGCAGCUGCUUCUGUCAUCAGCACUGACGAAGAGUUUGCACAAUUUUUCCUUUUUUUUUAUUCCUUAGGCCUUGUUUAGUUCGUAAAAAAUUUCAAGAUUCUCCGUCACAUCGAAUCUUUGGUCGUAUGCAUGGAGCAUUAAAUAUAGAUGAAAAUAAAAACUAAUUGCACAGUUUACUUGUAAUUUGUGAGAUGAAUCUUUUGAGCCUAGUUACUCCGUGAUUGGACAAUGUUUGUCAAAUAAAACGAAAUGCUACAGUAGCCAAAAAUAAAAAAUUUUGCGAACUAAACAAGGCCUUAGAAUCGUUUUUUUCUCUUUCUGUUGGAUGGCGGUAGUUGAUCGGUCGACGCGACGCCAAAUAUCUCUAUGCUCAAUGACGCUGAUGGAUGUGGCCUGCCGCUUGGAAGAAUUUUUUUUUUCUAAUAUACGAGUAUAGAAAUAGAAUUAAGGUGUUUGGAAUUAGUUCCCUUCUAUAUUUUUGAGCAAAAGGAUUUUAACGUACUUUGUUUGAGAAAAAGAGUAAAAUUGUAGAGGUGCUUUAAACUAAUUUUGUUUUAAAGCAUGCAGUUCCAAACACCGUAAAAAUAAUAGUAUAUCUAUAGUGAAGUUUAUGAAGUAAAGUUUUAAAGCAUGCAGUUCCAAACACCCUAAAAAUAAGUUUGAUCCCUCUUCUAUAAAAUAAUGCCAGCCAAACGCUUAUGCGGUGUUUCUCGGAAACUCUUACCCGAUAUCCAUUUAUCUUUUUCUCAUCGGGAUGUUACUCCCUUCGUAAAGAAAAAACGUAAAUCUCAAUUCCCUUCGGAUGAGUAAAAGAAUUCAAGUUUAAUUAAUUUAUGAAAUAAAUAUCUAUAUUCAUAAUUUCAAAUAUAUUUAUUCUAAAAAUAUAAUUUUUGCUCAAUUUACAGUAGUUAUUAUACACAUAAUAAAUACUAAUAUAUCUUAAUUGAAGACAGAGAUCUUGUCACCAUUACGUUAAAAAAAUACUAGUAUAUUUCUAUAUAUAUUCAGCUCCUAUUUAGUUCUCUUACAAAAACUUUUCGCUCAACCACAUUAAAUGUUUAGACAUAUGACACAUUAAAUAUAUAUUAAAAAAUAACUAAUUACGUAUUUGUCAGACAAAUAUUUUAGACAUAAUUAGUCCAUGAUUAGACACAAAUAUACUACAGUACCUAAAAAUUUUCUUUUCAUAAACUAAAUAAGGCCCAGUCAAGCUCCAUAAUACUUAACGUCUUUACUAACAAUGGAGUACAUGGACGAGCGGUUUUGUGUUUUACAAAUGGACGGCAGGGAGAGACGAACAAAUAUGAAGGGUUUUUUGCAUUCUCUUAUUUUAACUUGUACGGGCUCAUUUAAAUUUAAAUUUAAAUUUCCGUAGAGGCUCAAACCCUUUUUCCUAAAAAAGAAUGAAUCGCUGAUCGUUGCCUUGGUUGAGAAGGCUCAAGAAAGUAGAAAUGAUGUGACGAAGGAAUCAUGGAGUGAAAACAGAGCAACGAGGUGUAUUGUCAACUCAUUGGAUAAACAAACCAUCACUACCUUUUUAAAGGAAGUAAACUCAGCUUGUGCAGAUACUGGGCCCUGCUUCUUUUUAAGGCCGUGUUCGGUUAGGUCGUUAGGAAAAUUCUGGCCCAAAAUCAUUCCUGCUAACAUAAUCUUACAUAAAAUUGAAUAGCAAUCCUGAACUGAAAUUGUUCCUGGAGUUUUUAUUGCUAAAACGAACGGGGCCUAAUACAGUAAGCAAUCGGUUCUUAAAAAAAUGGUGAGUACACUGUAGAGAUAGAGAUUACAUUAAUCGGUUGAUAUAGGUAUACCUUGUUGCAAUGCAUUUCUUUGCAGGUUAGCUGAAAUGAUAUUACGGCCUGUUUGCUUUGCUUCCACAAGCCACAACGAGACUCUGGCGGCGCCUGAACUCUAUUUUUUGGCGGCAGAGUUUUGGCAAGAUACAGCAACGAAAUAAACUAAGGCCUGGUUUAUAGUUCUAAACAAAUUUUAAAAUUAUGUGUCACAUCGAAUCUUCAGACGUAAUGUAUGGAGCAUUAAAUAUAGAUGAAAACAAAAACUAAUUAUAUAGUUUGCCUAUAAUUUACGAGACGAAUCUUUUAAGCCUAGUUAGUCUAUAAUUAGACAAUAAUUGUCAAAUAAAGGAAAGUAUGCAAUCUAGCUCCAUCUCAUGGAUCAGUGCCUUAUGCCAAGAAGAGGAGAAGACUAAUUAGUGUUCUGCUCCUACUUCUUUUUUUUUUCUUUUUUUUUCCUUCCUCGUUCCCUAGUUGUCUUAGGGCCUUUCUGUAAACCAUAUGGCCGCACUUCCUUUUCAAAUAAAAUUCUUGUAGGGGCCAAAGCCCCUCCAAAUAAAAAUACUAUAGUAGUCAAAGCUAAAAAAUUUCGCAAACAGCCUAAGAAACAGCUGAACAUCCAGAAACCAAACGGUUGCCUAAGUAAAUGCGGCGUGCCAAACUUAGGGUGUGGCAACUUAUGGACGCCAUUCAUAGCCAGUGCCACAAAAGGUUAGGCAUAUGCCAGGGUAGUGGCAUGCCCAUUUUUGUGGCAAAAAUAAGGUGUUUAGUGCACUAUCAUUUAGCUCCGGCAACUGUUUGGUUUUUAGUCAUAUGAGCUGCCACAAGUUUGGCAAAUAAAAAGGUGAGCUUACCACUUGAAGUCACGACACCAGCAUUUCGACACUUUCACUUCAGCACGGUGGAAAAGAAUGCAAGUAAUUAGCACCAGUAAACAUAUUGGGCAAUAAUAGUCCCUAGCUAUAUUACUAAUAUACACAAGCAUGAUGAGUUGCAGAGGACCAGUCUGUUCUGUACAAAAGCAGCAACAGCUGUCUUCAGAUUUGGGUUAUAUACAGUCAUACAAAACCAUCAACUACUCUGACAUCAGCUGCAGAGGACCAUUUGAGUCUACCCUAUCCAAAAGCAUCAGCACAUAAUUUAUAGAAGCAUCAAUGAUCAUUAUGCUUAGAUGAUGAGCACUUCCAUAGUUCCAUGUGCUAAAGAAGUUCACCAAAACACCCUUUAGAAGCAAACGAAGAGACAAAUGAUGUUUUGUUAGACUAAUUAGCUUGCCUCUGCUUUAUGUUUCAGUAUCCUAGCUGAAGGUGUUUCAUGACUAUACCUCAAAGUAACUAAGUAAGGGUGGAACCUUCCUGGCUUACUUGUGAUCUUUGGGUGUGUUUCAGUGGUCCUGUAUUUGAGUCCUCCGACAAGUAUUACACACGCAUCUAAAACCUCAUUAAGGAGUGAACUCUUUAAUUAUUUUAGGGGCCUAGGUUAUUUGGAGACAUAGAAAUACAUGUGUUUUUGAGGGGGCUUCUCCUUCGAUUAGCAUGAUCUAGAGUGAGUUGAAGAAUGAGCACAACCUCUAGUGUAUGGCUGGGGGAAAGAUGCUUCAAGGACUUAAUUUGGCACUCACAGACUAGGUUCUUUUAGUUAAGGUCGAGUUGUGUUUGUUCUCUAUGUGUUUAACCCUGGUGUAUAUAUAAUCGCCUCACUCAUAUCUGGUCCCCGUAUGAGUGAGGAUCCUAUUGGGACCCAUCUAUUUUUCAUCUCUAUAAUACAGUGAAAUGCAGCUCUUCUGCGUUAAAAAAAAUCUCAUUAAAGUACCUACUAACAGUCUCACCUGAUCGGAUGAACUCAAAACCAAUAGCUCUAUUAGACUAGUUAUGACCCAAUGCAUGCAUAAACAUUACAACUUGUUCUUCCAUUGUCACAUUCAAUGUGUCCAUCACAAGACCAUGUGAUCUGAGACUUUGACAGAGCAUACAAAUAUAUUCUUUCCCAUGCACAGUUCAGAAAUACAAUGGGCCUCCGUACCAUUAUACGAACGACUUAGGCCGUGUUUAGUUCGCGAACAAAAAAAUUUCGCGACAUUGUAGCACUUUCGUUUGUUUGUGGUAAUACUAACUAGGCUUAAAAGAUUUGUCUCAUAAAUUUUGACCAAACUGUGCAAUUAGUUUUUAUUUUCGUCUAUAUUUAAUACUCCAUGCAUGCGUCUAAAGAUUCGAUGUGACGGAGAAUCUUGAAAAAUUUUGCGUUUUUGGGUGGAAGUAAACAAGGCCUUAAUAUAAACGGGUUUCACAUGUUUAGCAGAUUAGUGUCCAUAUGUCACACCUUCUCUGUCUCGCUUUCACAUGUUUAGCAGAUUAGUGUAACUAGGUAGACACAAAGCAAUAGCAGCUACCAACCUUCUCCUACAAAUGUAGUACUGGCAGUAGUAACUGAAGUAAUAAUAUAUGAACUGACUCAUCCUUCGAUCCGUCUGGUUAGCAAAUAUUCCCCAAAAAAUAAAAAUGUAAACACAUAUAUCGGAUUGGAGAAAAAAUAAUUUAGACAAAUAUUAGCCACUUUUGCUAGAUGAUCUCUACCAACAACUCGUCAAGAAAAAAAACAUUUUGACUGUCAUAUGUUUUUCGUAUGGACUCAACAGAAAUGCACUUUUUUUAAGCAAAACAAGCCACAAAUAAUGAUCCGUACAUUUUAGUGAACACUGAACACCCGCUGCGCUAACCUGCUGGCUGUGUGAUAGCAAUUAGCAAGCAAGUACUGUUGGCUCCAUUUUGCAAAUCAAAGUAUCAGCAUGCAUAAGCCAAACUUUUUCCCAUCUAGUAGCAGACGAGCAGUAGCACACAGCCGCGCACAAGCCUCCGCGAGGAAAACUUUCCAGUUGGGAGUUGUGCAGAUGCAAGCUAGAUGGUGUGACAAGCGACGCCGGAGGCAGAAUCUCCGCGCCAGGCCAAGGAGCGGCGGCGGCGGGCACGGUAUUCUUUCCCCGCCAACAGUGAAGAGAUAAUAAGGAGAGAUAAGCGUUGAAGAAAUAUCCACAGGAAAGGGGCCGCGCCAGCAGUUUCGCGCCAUAUAGCACAAUUAGUCAACCACCGCUACUAGUGCCAAUAGUAAUUGAUAGUGAGUCAACUUGAGAUUUUUUGACAUUAUUACCACAAAGAAGAAAUUCUAGAAAUUUUCUUAUUUCACAUCUUCAAGGCAAAUCGAUCCAAUACUGUGGCUGAUUAGUCCAUGGUCACAAAAGCGUGUGGCAUUGUACUUGUGCAUAACUACACUAUAACAAAUGCAGAGGACACUAUGCUAGUUGGAAUUUUCUAAUCACAUUUCCUCGUACCAUCACCAACUAAUAACCACAAAAGAUUUUACUUUUCUUCUAAGUACUCCGUAAACCGUUACAUAUAUGCAUGAGGAUCUGUUCCGGAUGCAGAGCUAAUUAAAGAAGCACGCAACAGUCCUGCAAGAGCAAGAGCUCAUCAGAGAGAGAGGUAAAAAAACGCGCGCGGGAGGCGAUGGAGGGAGGCGGGAGCGCGGCGAAAGGGCCGGUGGUGGUGACGGGGGCGUCGGGCUUCGUCGGCUCCUGGCUCGUCAUGAAGCUCCUCCAGGCCGGCUACACCGUCCGGGCGACCGUGCGCGAUCCCGCGAACGCUGCCAAGACGAAGCCAUUGCUGGACCUUCCCGGAGCAACGGAGCGCCUGUCCAUAUGGAAAGCCGACCUGGCGGAGGAAGGCAGCUUCGACGACGCCAUCAGGGGCUGCACCGGCGUCUUCCACGUCGCCACGCCCUUGGACUUCGAGUCCCAAGACCCCGAGAACGAGGUGAUCAAGCCGGCGGUGGAAGGGGUGAUCAGCAUCUUGCGAGCCUGCAAGGAGGCCGCCGCCGCCGGCGGCGGCACCGUGCGCCGCGUCGUCUUCACUUCCUCCGCCGGGACGUGCAGCGUCGAGGAGCGGCAGAGGCCCGUCUACGGCGACGACGACUGGAGCGACGUCGAUUUCUGCCGUCGCGCCAAGAUGACCGGGUGGAUGUACUUCGUGUCCAAGACCCUGGCGGAGAAGGCGGCGCUGGCGUACGCGGCGGAGCACGGCGUGGACCUCGUCAGCAUCAUCCCGACGCUCGUCGUCGGCCCUUUCGUCAGCUCCGGCAUGCCGCCCAGCCUCGUCACCGCGCUGGCGCUCGUCACGGGGAACGAGGCACACUACUCGAUCCUGAAGCAGGUGCAGUUCGUCCACCUCGACGACCUCUGCGACGCCGAGAUCUUCCUCUUCGAGCACCCGGCCGCCGCCGCCGGACGCUACGUCUGCUCCUCGCACGAUGCCACCAUCCACGGCCUCGCCGCCAUGCUCAGGGAUAGGUACCCCGAGUACGACAUCCCGCAGAGGUUCCCUGGGAUCGAGGACGACCUCCAGCCAGUGCGCUUCUCGUCCAAGAAGCUCCUAGACCAUGGGUUCACUUUCAAGUACACGGCAAUGGAGGACAUGUUCGACGCAGCCAUCCGGACGUGCCGGGAGAAGGGCCUCAUCCCCCUCGCCACUGCCGGAGGCGGAGGGGACGACUCUGCCUCAGUGCGCGCACCUGGCGAGACGGAUGUGACGAUUGUUUGAGAAAAAUUUACAGCUCCCGCCGUCGAUGAUGCUAUCAGCUAUAUAUAUCCCUUCGAGCACCGCUGGCAAUGUGGGAAUUUACAAGUUCCAAACCAAUAUGCCCUACACGUACGGAGUAAAUAAAUUCGGUGUAGACCAGUUUGAUGUUUCGAUCAAUUCCAUUUCUUUCCUGCAUUAUUACGUGCUGUUUUAUACCGAAAUAAAUGUUUCUCAGCAUUUUACUGCAGUGUAGAGAUCCAAGCUCUGUAUGCAUGGUAUUGUUUUGGGUUAUUUGGCAGUUAUUAUGACUCAACUUUUGAAACCUAUCAUUACUAUUAAAAAAGGUAAAGACUUUGUUACGCUCGGCCGCGCACACCCUACUUGCACGGCCACACCUCUCUCUCUCUCUCUCUCUCACCCGCGGCGCCCGGCGAGCUCUUCCCUGUUGCGCUCUCUCCCCAACGGCGACCUCCUUUGGCGAGCCUACGCCCGUGCCCCACCUCCUCCGCAUGGGGUCUUCUUUCUCUCCCCCUCCCCCGUGGCAGCAAUGGCACUAGCGGGGUAGGCCUCCUCUCCUUCUCAUGUUGUCAGUGAGCUCUCCUCUUAUCUUCCCUAACUCCAGCGGCCUCACAUGGAAAUGUUUUGGGAGGGGGGAAGGGAGGAGAGAAGGCCGGUCAGGCGUUAGGGAUGCUUGUUGGUGGUUUAGCAGCCCUAGUGAUAAUGGAGGCGGCCAAGGCAAGUCAGGGUAGGAGUCGUAGGAUGCCAUGACCAAGGCGGUGACGAUGUCCAUGGCGGCAGCGACGGGGGCGGUGGGAAGGGAGGUGGUUGCUGCGGCAGGAGCGAAGGCAUCGGAGCAGUGACGAAGCUAGAGUAAAUUGGAGGGGGGUGCACGUAGCUUGUGGGUGCAUAGACAUCUUCCGUAUGGGGUGCAUAUAUGGUGAAAUUUUGAACCUAAUCAUUGUUUUUAUAAAUUUUGGGGAUGCAUUUGCACCCCCUAAUUAUUAAGCUUCGCCACCGCAUCGGAGUCGAGGAGGAAGAAGCUGCAGUGCUUUUGUUUCGACUAAGAAGCUGCUCAUGUGUGCUUGCACGCGGCCUAAUACACGGCCGUGCAUGCGUUAUCCACCCGUCCUAAAAAAAAUAGUUAGCCAAUCACCAUAACUAGUGCCAACAGCAAUCAAUAGUUAGUCCAUGAUCACGAAAGCAUGUGGCAUUUUUUUUUGACAACAAACAAUUUUAUAUCACAGCAACGUGCUGAUAGAAUAGUUACAUUGUUCAAGCCUACAGAUCGUAGAGCUUGUAAAAGAGCGGGAACUCAGGAAGACUCAAAAUUUAUGUUCUGAGAGGCUGGGUCUGAAAUAGCUUGUUUCGCCAAGCAUCUGCUGUGGUAUUUAGACGCCUGUUGGUCUAGAAGAUCUUGGAUUCCUUGAUUCUUGAGUGGUUGAACACUUGUAUGAAAAUGUUUAUUAGCCAGUCAUUGUAUAACACUGUAACGAAUGCAAAGGACACUAUUUGCAAUUUCUAAUCACAUUUUCUUGUACCAUCACCGACUAAUAAUCACAAAAGAAAUCACGAGGGUCCCCCAUUCACUGUUCUUAGAAGUAAACCAUUACAUACCAGCACAAGAUGAGGGUAUGUUCAGAACACAAGAAUUGCACAGGUAUGUAUAGAAAUGUUAUAAGAAUCAGUUCAACUCCAGUACUCCACAGACAGGAACAGGAAAAAAUCUCGAGCCCAAACAAAGCCUGAUUGUGCUGUUCAAGGUCAAGAGAUCUUUCAACUCUGUAUCAUGAGGCGUGAUGCGUUUCGGAUAAGACCAAUGGACAACGUGUCACACCCUCUCACUUAGCUGGAUACAGUUUCGUUUCAGCGUCAUUUUUUCUUCUAGAUAUGUGAACAUUCUGAAAUCCACGGCAUGCGCCCCCCCCCCCCCCCCCCCCCACCCUUGCACCUUGUCACUAUGAUGAUGACAAUACCUCAGCAUGUUCAUUUGUCUUAGGAUGGCCAUGAUUGGUUGUUCAUCCAAAGAGAUGGGCCUAAUUUCACGCCAGAUACGGACCAAAAUGUUAGUGCCCAUUUGUUUCACAUGAUAAGUUCUCCAUCAGUCUCGCUGAGAGUUUGGAUCCAGCGCCGGGUCCGACUAUGGAUUGCGACAAUAAUUCUCCACAAAAAGGAACUUGCGCAACCCCAAAACUCUUUAGAUGAAUGAAUGGCACUAAAAUUGCACCAUAAGAAAUGAAUGAUGUGUUUUUGCAGGCUUUUCUUUUUCUCCUCCUGAUGAUGAAAAUGCCAUCUCCGUUUCCAGCGAGCUACAUCUAUUUCCCCUUCAUCAGGUCCUCCAAAACAAUGGUGGCAGCGUUGCGUCCUGGCGCACCCAUCACCCCACCACCUGGGUGUGCGCCACUCCCGCAGAGGUACAGCCCCUUCACAGGAGUUCUGUAAUCUGACCUGUAUGCUCCAAAGUGCAAACAGGCUAGUCAUGAUCCCAAAGCCACAGAUUCUGACAGUGAAGCUUCAAAGAUUGGCAAGGAGAAAAAGGAUCAAUGCAAUAGACAACUAUUACCAUCCCUUGGCGGGCCUCAUGAGGAAAAGAGAAUCUAAGCCCAUUGCACCGUGGAAAAUGUUGCCCCCUGUGAAAUGUGAAUCAUGUUUUCUUAAAGCUAAGCCUCCAAUAGGUACAGUAAAGUAAAACAUCGAAAGGAUCAAGUAUGCAAAGGUUAUGUAUACUAUUGGAAAGAGCUUACCUGUUAGACCAAACUCUCUUUCAAGAUCAGGUGGAGUCAGCAUAUCAUAGCCUACCACCGAUGAGCUAAAGCCCGGUGCAUAUUCAUCAAUCAAAGAAAAGCAUCGCUCAACAAAGGCUUUCUGAAAAUUAGUUUCCAUCAAAAUGGUUACUGAUGGCUGUGGUAAAUCCAGCAAAAGAGUCUAUCCACAGAUGGUGUUAGCAGCAAUGCUUAACAGUAUUUGUGCGCCAUCCGCAUGUGCAAACGUUGAACACAGAAUGUAUAGCGAGAUCAAAGUGUGAGUAAGAUCAACAUACUCUGACAUUAGAAUCCUGCCAACUGCCUUCUGAAAGUUUGUAGGGUGUGUACUGAACAAAAAGAUUAAUAACAUGCUGACCUAUCGAAAGGAUAAAGCAAAAGAUGGAAAUUAUGUCAGAGUAGGAACGAAAUUGCCUUGCACACAAAGAGUAGUGGUAGGAUCCUAUGACAGUUUAACGAUGCAUGCCCCAUAUAAUUUCUUGCUCUAUUGGGAUUUUGGGAUAGUGAGAUAUGUCUUAGUAGAUAUUUUGCACUAUAUGUUUUGCCUUAUGCCACUGCAAUGAUAAGGGAACAAGAAACAUGCAUACCUGGUGGAGAGAUGGUCUUAUCCAAGACAGAAGGAAUUGUCAUUUCUAUAACAGGUCUUUUGGAUGAGAUGCCGCCUGCUGCUUCCCUGUAUGCAAGGUCAAUUUCCUCCAUGCUGGAAAGAAAGCAGAAUUUCCAUAUUAGAGACUAUUUUUCUUCUCAAAUAAAUAGUUUUUCACACAAUCACAUGAGAGGCCAGAUCAUCUAGCUUUCCUUAUGAUAAAAGAAUGAGGAGUGGAUAUCUAACUAUAGGCUGGUCUCAUAUAACAUGAGUGUGGUUAGCAUGAUUGUUCUCUUUAUUAUCCUAGGAUACAAAUGUCAAGAACAUAACUACAUCAAUUUAUACAUGUAGGUAACAAACUUUGUAAAUAAAGUCAGGAUAACUAGUGCAGGGCACUCUUUCAGAACAAGACAACUUAUUAUCGAGUAAUAACAUUAGUGAGUUAAGAGAUUAUUUCCCUUGUCCUACUCGUGUUGAUAAGCACAGGCUGUGCAAUACAUUAAAAAAAGUUGGCUCUGGGGGAAGAUGCACAAUACAUUAACAAAAAUGAUAAAUGUGAUACAAAUAGUAUCUGACACCUUAUUUGUUUAUCCUGUAAAUGCAAAUAAAGAUCAAAGACAACUGAAUAUGAAAAAUAUGUCACUUUAGUUAUAUACCUUUCGGACCCAAUGUGUAUGGUGCCCAUGUGCUCUGGACCACCUUCAGGGUUGAUGUCUUUGCAACACUGGAACUGUGGCAGCUUGUCGACAGCUACAUUAAUCUUUGUUGUUGCCUGCCCCCCAAAAAAGUCAUGUUAUAUCAUUAAUAAUUAUCGAUUAGAGUAUUUCAGUUGGAGUCACUGUUGAUUAUCGGAAUGUUCAAACUAUUCAUCUUAAAAGUAAUUCCAUAAAAUAUAAAUAUCUACUCUACCAAUAUAGAAUUUUUUAAAAAGUCAUGGUCAAGUCACAUCUUGGGAAUGGUAACAAUCAACAUCAUGUAGUGAAGAAUGAAAGAAGCAGAAGAAACAAAUAAUAUGUGCAACAUCAUAAUCAACAACAUGCUGACAUGCAUGUUGACUUUCUCUAAGUUUCAAGUUAUAUAAUGUUUUCCCAUUCCAUUUAAAAAAAAUGUUUUCCCAUUCACAGAUAUCACAGACAGGCAUGUUGGUGUAAAUGAGUUAUAACGGUGCUUUUUCAACUCAGUGACUAUUUGUUAGGUGCAAUUUCUUUGGUUGAAAAAAAACACCAUUAUUAUUGUACUGAAAUAUGUUUGUACACAAGUUCUUACAGAGCUGUAAUCUGCUGCCUUAAUUGCACAGAGGAAGUCCUUUGGAAGAACAGUAGAAGGUACUAGGUCCUGCAAGAGAAACCACAUAUCAGUAUAAGAAAUAUUUGCUUAGUUAUGCUAGCAAAACUAGAGCUGGUACAUCUUUGCAAUAUUACAUAUUUCUGAGUUUUCCUUACCACAAAUGUUUUGUAUGGAGUGGCAUUUGAGAGAACAACUGGCGAGUGCACCACUGUUCCAUCAGCCAAAGCUACCUACAAAUCCCAAUCUUUCAAGAGGUUGAAAGGAAUGAAAGGCACUUACAGGUUAAUCAAAGUACUUACCCCUUUUACCCUUCCACUAUUAUUAACCAUUACUUGGGAAACCUAAACAAGAACAAAGGAUCAAGUCAAGCAAGAUGCCUAAUAUGGAAUGUAAACCACAAUUAUGAAAAAUUGCCACUACGGCAUUACAUAAAACAAAUUAUCCUUUUCCUUUGAGAACUCCAGUUAACAACUUUGAAUAAUUGAUCAGUUUUUUUCUGUUUCAAUUUGGAAAAAUUACUCUGCCAAAGAGCAGCCCUACAUGCUAUAAGAAUUGUAAAGGCACCUCGGCAUUUGUUACAAUCUGCACUCCUGCUUCAAGAGCUGCUUUGCUUAUAGCCGAUGACACUGAACCCAUACCACCUUCGACAUACCUGUAGCAAGUGUAUUAUCUUCUUUACUUAAACAAAAAGUAUUCUGAAAACCGAAACAAAGAUAAACUGACGAAAGAACUAAUAAUGGACCCAACAUACUAACAAGCAGAUUUGACUACAUUGUAUGAUGCCGUUUUCUAUAACACUAAUCCUUGAAAACUUGCUUUCCCAGCCAGUGGAUAUACACACCAGUUGAGGAAACAUUUGGGAUCAAAGUCCCUACUGAAAAUAACAAAAAUAAGAAGCAUCUUAGAGAGUCAAAGUUAGAAGCAUACGCCCAAACACCACGUUGACCACCAGUCUCCCCCAUGACAUGGUGUAGGAGAACAUAUCCAGAACCUGGAGUGUGCACACCAGCCUAUAAAAGAGACAUCCAUCAGUCAAAUGCCAAUAUACUAGGCAAAAUAUUUUGCUUAGUUCAUUCAAAGCACCCUUACCAUAGCUCCUAUCACGGCGUCAGUUGCAAGAGUCGCCUUCAAAACCUCACUCUGCAGUAGACAGCAGUCAAUGAGAAGCCUUUUUUGUUCACAGGUUAAAGAAGAUUAGGUGCAGUGCAGGCUGUCAAUUGAAAUAAAGCAACCACACAGUUGCUUGGUAUGACCAAUGUGAGCAGAAGCGUUUAAGAUAGGACUAAUGCUGACCUCAAACCAGGUGUUCAAGAUUUUCGAUGCCGGAGAAAGAAGGAGGUCAAAGAAUUCCCUGCCGACAACAAUUUGAUUUUUAGAAAGGGUUGCAUAAAUGACGCCGAUCAAAUCAUUAAAAGAAGGGUCAGUACUUAGUACUCACACCAUGUUCGUCUGCCCCUGCUGCAUCACAUGCCGAAAAAGGUGGCCCCAGAAUGCUGACUUCUCGACCCUAUGCUUCAUCCUGUCAACCAUAGAGAAGUGGACCUCCUGCCUCAGCUCGGGUGGAGCCGAGUCUAUGACAAAGUCCAUGAGCUUGCAGAACUUCUCCAGCUUCUCCUCGUAUCUGCAUUCACAAACAGAUCCUACCAAGAUCAUCAUUGUAAUAAAGAGCUACAAUGUACAUAGAUACAACAGGAAUCAGGAACUUAAACACUUAUUUAAUCUAAGAUCAUUCCAAGAUAAACUGCACCUUGGGUAUGCCUCUGCAUCCUUCCUAGAGAACUUGCUGAUCUCUGAGAAGUUUAGCUCCGCAUCCGGACCAAGAAGCAGGUAUCUGCCGUCAAGGCAUGGCGUGAACGACGAAGGGCUCCGUGGCAGCAGCUUCAGUCCGUGCCUCUCCAGCUCCAGGUCACUUACAGUAUAUAUGCAAGGACCCGCAACAACAGCAGUAGUGUGUCAUUAUCACCAGAUACAAAUCAAAACAUCGGUAUGCAGUUCAGAGUUAUGUACAGAGGAGACUAAUCGACAUUUAUAGAAAGCCUCUAAGUACAAGGCCGCGGCGCAUGAAUUUAACAGGAAACGAGGUGUGGUAGUCGCCUUGGGGUAGGUUACUCACCGGAGGAUGGCGGGGCGGAGGAGGCUGAGGAGGUAACUGCAGCGGGAGAAGCGAAAUCCGGGGACAAGGUCCGACUCUGAGACCGCAGCGCCACCCAGGAUGCCCCGGCGCUCCAGCACGGCGACGGAGCGGCCCGCGCGGGCGAGGUAGGCGGCCGCGACGAGGCCGUUGUGGCCGCCGCCGAUCACCACCGCGUCCCACCGCUUAUCCUUGGGCAGCUGCUGCGACGGCCGGGACGGGUCCGACGCCGCUGCGUCCGUGGAGAAGCGGCGGCGACGGGCGGCUCCGGCGAGCAGGAGGCGCCUCGCCGCCGGUGACAUCGUGGGUUCUGCUUGGGUUCUUCACCUGCCACCCGUGCCGAGUGCGCAGUGGACGAUGGGCGGAAUCUUUCUACUUGUGAGAAAUGGUGACUUGUGUGUGCGCUGUAGAUUCCGCGACCGCUGCAGAGAAGACGGAUUCUAAAAGUACGUUUUAGUUAGUAUAUAAAAAAGUCACGGGUCAUAAACAAUCGAGACGCCGCCGCCGACCUCAUCAUCACAGCCGCCGGCAGCCGGACGCUGUCUCCUCGCCCGCUUGCUUUGUCUUAGCCCAGUUGCCGCCGGCAUCGGGGUUGUGUUCUCUGUAUCGCAAUCCUCUUCCUCUGCUCCGCCACCGCGGCGCGACGACAUGUCUCUCUUUCUCAUCUUCUUUUUUUUUUUCUUUCGCGGUCCGUUUGAUUCCUGUUUGCCUGGAUGUAGUGCUAUGUUGGCGCUCAUCGACCAACGCUUAGGUAUUUGAUGAACUAGGAUGUUGGAGAUAAUGUAAGGCCAUUUGUCAAUUCGAUUGUUUGUAAAUGAAGGUGUUUGAUGAAUUAGGAUUUUGGAAAUGAUAUUAAGGCCAUUUGUCACUUCGAUUGUUUGUAGUUGAAGGCUAAGGAAGUUAUUGCUCUGCUCAGGUAGCGCUUGAUUGCAAUACUGCCAUUGUAGGCCUUAGAUCCACAAAGUUUUUGGAUUUUGACACUGUAGCACUUUUGUUUUUAUUUGACAAAUACUGUCGUAAGUAGGCUUAAAAGAUUCGUCUCGUGAUUUAGAGACAAAUUGAGCAAUUAGUUUUUGUUUUUAUCUAUAUUUAAUGCUCCAUGCAUGUGCCGCAAGAUUCGAAGUGACGGGAAAUCUUUAAAAGUUUUUGGUUUUUGAGGUGAACUAAACAAUUAGACAUGUCUGAAGUAGACCGUGCGAAAAAUACUAUUUUUGUUCUCUGGGCAUGGCCACUGCGUUUCUGAAAGUUCCUCCUUGUUGAAAAAUGCUUGCAGGACUGGGUCAUCUAAGAAGCAUGAGCUCAAAUCUAAGAAGACUAUCAGUAAGGUAUUUCAAACUCCUCUCCUUCAUUAGCAUAUAUAAUUGAUUUUUCCUAGAAUUUCAAUUCUGUUAAACUCUGCAGAUUUGAUUUUAUUUGAGUAAUUAAAGACUGUUUAAGCAUUAGUUUUCUACCCCUAUAAAGUAAAUCUUAGAGUAAAAAUCACAAGCGUCCCUUAAACUUGUACGGUGGUGUAAUCUGGAUCCCUAACUCUUGAUUUUUAAUAUUUGAGUCCUUGAACUUGUACUGUGGCGUUACUUAGGUCCCCAACCAUCUAGUUUUGAUAUUUGAGUCCCAAAACUUGUAUGGCGGUGUCAUCUAUGUCCCCAAACUUGUUGACAUACAAGUAGCAUGUCACAUCAGCAUCAUUUGAGAAUUAAUACGAAAUAUAUGUCCUUUUAUGAUAAAAAAGUGAAAAAAAUUUUAUUGCGUCAGGGUCAUCCACGCGUAAGCAAUGCUAGCCUGUCCUCAAGUCAGGGAUUAGGAAAAUUGCCAAGGUGGAUACACAGGAAAAUUUCCAUUUCUGACGGAAGAUGUGGGUUUUUUUUGUCGCGCAGUUUAUAACAUCAAUAAAUGGUUCAAAUUUCAAAGUCUCAGCGACACUAGCGUAUUGUCUCUGUUGUAAUAAGUCCUUAUUGAUGUGUAUUUGGUCAGUAUUAUGGUGUAGCGCCAGUUUCCUGUAUGCCCCAACAUCAUUCUGUGUGUUCCUGAUGUAGUAGUGAACAAAUGCUGCAGAAGGGCAAUAUUCCAAUGUCAUUCACAUGUUCAUGCAUAUACGUGCACCAUAAAAGCAAAUCACCAUGUCAGCAUAGACAGAUUUUUACAGUCAUGAUUUGCCAAUUGAUGGGAACUUAAAACUAACUUGAAAUCCUUUUGUCGCGUUCACCUAGCUAGUUAUAUGUUCUUGGAUGUUUUCAGAGGUCUACUCCAUUCCAAAGUAGACUCCUGCAGCUUGGCAUAUUUAUUUUCUUUUGUAUUGCUAUUGCAGUGUGCAUCAUACACUAUUGAUAUGGAUCCAAUAUGUAAAUUCGCAUGCACUUGUCAUCAUAUUUGUAUAGUUUGCAUUUCCUUUCACUUUUUACUAUGAUGCCAGUGUUUCACUAUCUGUUAACAAUUAUUUUGUUCAGCAGAAAAAUACACAGAGUCGGCGUCAGAAGAAACUGAAAGCAUAUGAUCUCUCGGCACUGUCAGAGUUCCUCCCAGAACCAGCUGCACUAGAGCAGAAGACUGAAGCAAAGCUGAACUGCAAGUCAAGACAGACAUUAGUGUAAUCCUCUCUUCACACCUCCUUGCUUCAGGUCGUCACGUUUUUCAACUGUAGUUUUGGAUUCUAAACCCGAUUUUUCUUGUCCAGGCUACAGGAGGCUGCUCAUCUCAAGGCUGUACUGGACAACCUGCAGUUCCAGCUUGACCCAUUUGCUGUGAUCCAUCAGCAUCUGCUAGCAACACAGCCACCUGCAGCUGCAAAGGGCGAUGCCAUGAGGCAGGGGAAGGACUCCAAGAAAGAGAAAAGGAGGGGGAAGAAGGGCGCAUCAUCAAGCUCUCAAGCAAUGGAUAUCUGAUUGAACAUUCGUUCAGUAGUAACUUGUUCCAGAGGCAACCCUGUUCCAUGAGAGGGAGCUCAUCAGAGUUUCAUAUCAAUGUUUGGCAUACUUUGGGUACCAGUAGAGGUAGUAAUUUUUCUUUUCCUCUUUGGGCGGUCUUUUGGCUGAUGUUUGCUGAAUCAGUGCCAUCAACAGUUAAUAUAUAUGAAGAAAAGAAAUCAAUGUGACGAUUUCUGAGCACAACAAUUUAUUAUACCUGGAGACUGUUUCUGAAGCCUAGUGCAACUGUUGUAUAAAGCCUGGCAACAACAACUGCUCAAAUUCAACACUGAUUCAUGGCAGCUUCUAAGGUGUUAUCAGCCGAAUCUGUUAGCCAUUCAGCAGUAUUUUUCUCUCACAACAAAUUAGCGAACAGUACUUUCAGCCAUAACUUUUCAAACAAGAGAAUAGGCUUUUAGCCUUUAGAUUUGAACUGUUUUUUUGCAAGGAUUGUCAGAGCUCAAAUUCAUUUGUGCUUGUUGCGGCUUUGAGAGACGCCUCUACUGUACUAUAAGUGAUUGGUAUGUAUAAUGGCCCCAUAUGAUGAUGAAACAGUGCUAGACUUACUAUGAGAGACAUCUGAUUAGUUAAGUAUUGUACUUGGCCCUUACUCUCGCGCGCACACUCGUUGGCCCUGCUGAGGCUACAAGUGCUUUGUCUGCUGCACCCACCUCACCGCCCACUUCCUCGCCGCCGUUGCCAGUCACCUCGCCUCGCCGCUCACUGAGCCCCAAGCUCAUCACCUACCGCCGGCGGCGCGUGCGACCUGUGGCACGCCCACCUGCUACACAACAGUCAGCUCCGUCCGCAGAGGGCUAGCUCCAGACUCGCGGCUAAGGCUUCGGCCACCUUUGUGGACAUGACCACACAGGCCGUGCAGCGCAAGGCGCUGCUGAAUUCCCUCUCCGGCUGCUCCAAGACUCUUCAGAAACAUAUCGCCAAGCGCAACAUUCUGUCACGCAACCGUCUGCCCAUGGGAGGGGCUGAUCUACGCAAGUUGUUGGCUGCGGCUAAGCUCAGCUGCAAAGCCGUCGACGGGGCCGACGUGGUGACUGACCUGGCGGAAUGACCACCAGGGGUGCCAUUAUGCUUCUAGGCGGCUUGCACUACUAUCCCAACGGUUGUUGGGCUGUGCCUUGUGGUAGUGCGGUUAUCCUUUCCUUCUCUGCCUUCCUUCACUUUGCUUCCUCUUCAAGUCUUUCUUAUGUUGUAUUCGGCCGGCGUUUUGUCCCGGCAAGGUGUUGUAACUUGUUCUCAUGACGUCGAACUCUCGCUGUUUUAAUAUUCUUACGUGGAAUGUGCGUGGCUUGGGCGACCCGGAUAAAUGUGUAACUGUGCGCAAUGUCAUUUUUAAUGCGAAACCUUCUGUUGUUUGUCUUCAAGAAUCCAAGCUUUCCACAAUUUCAGUGUUCAAGGCCAAAACCUUCCGGCCUGCUACUUUCUCCUCCUCCUUCGCUUACUCCCCGGUUGAUGGCUCAAGAGGGGGGAUCAUCACUGCCUGGGACCCCUCCCUGUUCGCUCUGAGCAACCUGUGUGUCAGCCACACCACUCCAACCACCUCCUUCUCUUGCACUGCUACUAAUCUCGACUUCACUCUAACCAACGUUUACGGCCCAUCUGACCACUCCAACUCCCCCUCCUUCCUCCAACACCUUUGCGACACUGUCUCAGGCUCAUGGGCAUUAAUCGGUGACUUCAACCUUGUCAGAUGUGCUGAGGAUAAAAGCAACAGGCAGUUCAAUGCCUCUCUCGCCAACUCUUUCAAUGACACCUUAAUUAACCUUGCUGUCUGUGAGGUCAACCUUUCUGACCGGCUCUAUACUUGGUCUGACCGGCAAGUCCACCCAAUCUUGGCCAGGCUAGACCGUGCUUUCACCAACAACGACCUCAACUUGGCCUUCCCCCUAACCAGUUUAUCCUCUCUUCCCAAACCUACCUCCGACCACUACCCGCUAGUGCUCUCCCUCUCCACCAAUUUGCCCAAACCUUGCUCUUUCAGGCUUGAAAACCAUUGGCUUAAGCAACCAACUUUCCUCCAGUCUGUACUAGCGAGUUGGGAUCAGGCACCGACAACCUCGGAUGCGGCUGGGCAGCUGGUCGCUUGUAUCAAGGCAGCGCGUGCGUCGGCAAAGGUUUGGUCGCGGUGUAACAGGGCACCACCGACUCUAAUUCAUGAUUGCCAGUUUCUUGUGCUUUUGUUCGACUACUUUGAAGAAUCACGACCACUAACACCAGCAGAGUUCCAGGCACGAUACACAGCGCAGGAAAGACUGCAGGAACUCCUCAAAGAGAAAGCGGCCUACAAAAAGCAAUAAAGGAAAGUGACGCCAACACUGCCUAUCACCAUGCCAAUGCAACUCAGCGACUAAGACGCAAUUAUAUUAGAAUGCUUCGGGUUGAUCAGCAAGAUGUUACAAGCCACUCAGCCAAAACUGAAGCCCUCACCACAUACUUCAAGUCAAUCAUCGGGGUAUCUGGCGUCUCCUCGGUCGAGGAUCUUACUGGCCUUUACUCAACAAGUGCCCAACCAAGCAAUGCUCUGGUCAGUGAGUUCACGGAAGAAGAAACCAAAGCUGCUAUUCUGGCGAUGAACACUAACAGUGCACCUGGGCCUGAUGGGUUUGGUCCAGCCUUCUACAAGUCCACCUGGCCUCAUGUCAAAUCCAAGAUCAUGGAGUUCUUGCGUGCUUUCCACAGGGGUCAAGCUCAACUUGAACGCAUCAACAGAUCUCACAUAGUGCUCUUACCAAAAAAGGUUGCGGCUGUUGAAGUUGAAGCUUUCAAGCCAAUCUGCCUGCAGAAUUGCAGCUUGAAAAUACUAUCCAAGGUCCUUACUGCAAGACUUCAGAAAGAGAUUCCACGCCUAAUUGACAUCCAUCAGACCGGUUUUAUAAAGGGAAGAUCAAUAACAGACACUUUCAUUUAUGCCCUUGAGUUAGUUCAAGUCUGUCACAAGCGGAAGAGGCCAGCAAUUGUACUGAAACUCGACUUUGCAAAAGCCUUCGAUACAGUCAACUGGGAUGGUUUGUCCAACGUCCUGAACGCUAGAGGUUUCUGCCAAAAAUGGGUAAACUGGAUGUCUCACAUUCUGAGCUCCUCCAAAACCUCUAUCCUGGUGAACGGCUGCCCGGGCCCGUGGAUCACUUGCAAAAGAGGUUUGCGUCAGGGAGACCCUAUCUCCCCUUAUCUCUUUUUGCUGGUAGCGGAAACCUUGCAGAGGAUGGUCACGAACUGCACUGCAAUCUCUCAUCCAACUGAUGAUGCCUUGCCUUGUGCUGUACUGCAGUACGCUGACGACACGCUCAUAGUCUUCAGAGCGACACAAGCGGCUGCAACCUGCCUCCGGGAAAUUCUUGACAGCUUCGCCGGCAUCACUGGCUUGCAUAUCAACUUCUCCAAGAGCACUUUGGUCCCUAUCCACGUUGACGUUCAGGUGCUGAACUCUUGUGUCAACAUCCUGGGCUGCCGAAAAGAAAGCUUCCCGCAGCAAUAUUUGGGACUGCCUCUCUCAAUGAACAAACUUCCAGUAUUGGCUUUCGGCCCUUACAUUCAUAAAGCAGACAAAUACCUCGGGUCUUGGCAGGCUAGCCUACUCAACAUUAUGGGAAGAACAGUUCUUGUCAAUGCCGUGCUCGACGCCUUACUUGUUUACUUCAUGAGCUCAGUGCAGCUGCCACCGGCUGUGAUUCACCAGAUGGACAAAAAGAGGCGAGCCUUCCUUUGGUCAGGAGAUGUCACCGGGCACUCUUCUGCCUCUGCGUGUCUAGUGGCCUGGCUCAAUGUAUGCAAACCAAAGGAGCAGGGCGGCUUGGGAAUUAAGGAUUUGGGAGUUCAGAACAUUUGCCUUCUCCUGAAGCUGGUUCACAAACUGCAUUGCCCCACUUCUUCUGCUUGGGCGUAGUGGGUUAAGGAGCGAGCUUCGGUAGUCACCCUUACUGGUGACAUUCACGGUGAUCACUGGAACACAAUGCGCUCAAUCCUACCGCUGUACCGUGCAAUCACCACUGUGAACAUCGGGGAUGGAAAAUCCACCUCCUUCUGGUAUGAUGUGUGGGCUGGCGACGAUGCCUUUGAUGAAAUAUACCCAGCGCUGCACAGCCACUGCACAUUCAAGCAGGCCUCCGUCAGUGAAAUGGUGUCCAUUGGAGUUUAGAACACUCUGGUCUCAAGACUGUCAGCUCAGGCUGCAAAUGACCUACUCUCCAUCCAAGGAAAGAUCUCCAACCUUACCCUAAGUCAAGACCCUGACUCGAGAGCUUCCUUGUUCAGCAGAGGGGAGCACAACUUGGACAGUGGGGCAAUCUACAGGAUGCUUAAGGCCCGUGGACAAGCCUGCGAUGCCAGGGCUGAUUUUAUUUAUUUUUUUCGAGAUCACGACUUCACGUGUUUUUCAUUAAGAAGAAGAGCCGAAAGAAACGGCAAGUAACCGAUACAAAGAGUUCGCAAGUAAUCCAAGGAUUACCAUUGAAACCCAGAACACGAACAAAGCAAGAAACACGAGGGGGGAUCCUCCACCUAACAACCCCAACAGCUAAGCCAAAAACAAGAAGAACAACUCAACACCUAGGUAGGCAGCAGUGUUCGGAGCCGCAACAUAAAGGACAACUGACGGUCAUGCAUCCGGCCCCACCUCUUCAACCUCAACGACCAACCCAGCCGGAGACGCGUCCUCAGUGGCAAAGCGAACCAACCGACGGCCAAGCAUCCGUCUCCACUUCAGCAACCUCGACGACCAACUCAGCCGGAGACGCGUCCUCAGUGGCAAAGCAACCAUCCGACGGCCAAGCAUUCGUCCCCACCUCAGCAACCUCAACGACCCACCUGCCGGAGAUGCAUCCUUGGUGGCAAAGCAACGCACCUCGGCGGCAAAGCAUCCGCCGGAAACACCUCGGUGGCAAAGCAUCCACCGGAAAGAGCACAACUGCAGCUUCAACAAACACUAGCCAGCAAACCUGAGUGGAGAGCAGCAUGAAGCACGAAAAGGCUCGGCACGACGCCCGAGGGACCAUGCGGGCUGCAGGCCACGCGCAGAAAGAACUUCGGCGGCAACGCCUUCAAGAAGGAAAGCGACGCAGAGAGCGCCGCCGUUGCCGGCCCAAACGGGCGAGGCGCCCUAGAUCCUUGCAACCAUCAACCCCAGAAGGGACGAGCGCCGUCGGCCGAGGAGGGGUACGCAACGACAUAUGCCUCCAACGAGGAAAACGACGCCCCGAAGGCGUCGCCAUAGUCGGCCAGAAGGCACGGCUUUCGCCUAGCGCCACCCACUCAUGCACAGACCGCUCCAAAACGCCGACCACGCCGCCAUGACGCCGAAGGCGAACCGCCCGAACAGCUGCCCACAUCACCACGAUGCAGGGAGCGCACGAGGCGAGCCGGCCGCCGUAGCCGUCCGCCGCCAAGCAGAUGACCACCGCAGCCGUGGAGGGAAUGCCGAAGCCUUAGCAGCCGCCCCGAACGAGCCCAACCGUCCUGCACCCCACCCCGACCACGCCGGAGCCCAGACGGACGCCAGGCAGGCCGGCCAACGGAGGGAACGGGGGGGAGUCGCGCCAGAUCGGAGGCCGGAGGCCCAGAUCCGGCCGUCCCACAAGCCGCCGACGCCGGGGACAGGACGGGUAGGCCGGCCGACGGAGAACGGUGGGGUUGGCAGCAGCAGCAGAAAAAGGGGGCCGGGGGCCCAGAUCCGGCCGUCCCCCGGCCCAGGCCGCCGGCGCCCACCACCAGGAGGAGCCUGACGUCGCCGAAGGACGGUUGAAACACGGGCCGCCGUCACCGCCGUCGGCCGUGUAGUCCAGCUGGGGCGUCGCCUGCGGCAGGAAACGAGCGGAGCCCCUCGGCGACGCGCGCCGCGGAGACGGCCACCGCCGCAGUCCCCACGGCCGCCGGAUGCGGACACCAAGGCCGCCGGAGGGCAGGGGGGCCAGGGGCCCAGAUCCGGCAGACCACCGGCCCUGGCCACCGGCGCCCGCCCCGAAGAAGACACGGCGCCGCCGCCGGCCCCUAGGCCAACGGGAGAGGGGGAAGAAGUGGAGGCGGGGAGAGGAGCGUGGGGGAGGAGGAGGGUGGGGGAGGGAGGAGCAGGCGCGGGCGGGCGGGCCGCCGCCGCCACCAGGAGGGCGGCGACGGCGGCCGGAGCGUCGCGACGGGGGUUGGGAAGCGGGCAGAGAGGUGACGGAGCGCGCUCCGAUGAGAACUAUGCUGCGGGCUGAUUUUAUUUGGAAAAACCCAGCACCUCCAAGGGUGCAAUUGUUCAUUUGGCUUCUACUUCAAAGAAGAAUUCAGUGCCGGACAGUCUUGUUCAAAAAACACAUCGUCGACAACCCCUCCUGUGAGAUUUGUCACCUGAACACACCAUGUGGGGCUGCAAUCUUGGAAAGCAGGUUUGGAGUAGGCUUGGGAUUGUCUUCCCUCAAGACUCUGAUGUAUCGGCACUAUACUCCGUCUCUCCACCAACCGGUGUGCCUCUGGACCUGUUCCCAGCUUUCAUUGCGCUGGUUUGCUGGCAGAUUUGGAAAGUAAGAAAUGCAAAAACUUUCAACUCUGAGAUUCAAACACUGGAUCAAGUCCUUACCCUUUGCAUGCAUGCUGCCCUUCAGUGGAAACACAGGUUCCCACGCUUGAAGAAGCCAAUCGCCGACUCCUGGUGCUCCGUCUUCCUGAUGGCGAGGCAAGGACAGGGAUAGAUUACCUUACCUCUUUCUACCUUCUAAUGCUGUACUGAUCACGAUGUUGUGAUCAUCUAUCUCAAAAGUGUGCACAUGUAUUCUAAACUUCAGCCGGUUGGGGCUAUUUAAUAUAAUGCAGGUGGGGACCGAAUCCCCCGUUGACAGUCAAAAAAAAUUAUGAUAAGCAUACUGUCUCAGAUCACGUUUUAUUUUAUUAUGAGUGCAACCAGAUCGAUGGAAAUGGCUAUGGACACGUGUGCACUGAAUUCUAUGGAUCCCUGGCCUAACUGAACACGUGUGCACUGAAGCGGCGCAAUGCUCUCAUCUUCCGCAAUGAAAACCCUCCCCUUCGCCAAGUGUUGCAUGCCUGUGCCCUGGAUGCAGCUGCCUGCCUGCCUGGCGCCCUCGGUUCAAGAAAAAGGAAAAGGAGAUCAACACUGCCUGGUGUUCUUAUCUCCAAUCAAUACUAAACAGAAUCACUAGUCCCGUCUGUACAUUCCUUGUAAAGUCUUUAUUUUUUUUUAACACCCUUCCCUUUUGUAACCAUUUUGUGACCAUGGGUCACCUUCAAUAAAGUCAGGUGGGCAAUGCCCCCCGUUGAAUGCUCAAAAAAAAAAACAAACAGAGAACAGGGAUUAAGGCUAAGAGGUAAUGAUCCCCAAUAGGGAUUGGAGUGACAGCCAGGGAUCUACUCAUUCCCAGGGUGGGAAAAAAUAGCUUGGGGAUUGGAUUCCCAUGAACCGAACAAGGUCUUAAUUGGUCCCAAUGACACCAUUCGCGGCAAACAUUUUGAUGGCAAAUUGGAUUUUGUCGAUCUGCAUUUGCUUUUGGGUGAAGGGAAUUUGUGCUGUUAACUUAAAUUUUGUGGAUCUGUUCUUGUGUUUGCAGAAUCCAUCAUUUUUUUUUAAGACAAAGAAGUAUACUCCGUUCUACGGGUGAUAAAUGGAUUUAUGUUUUUUGAAAGAAGUAAAUGGAUUUAUGUUGUAUUUCAACUACCCUUUUGCUACGGUAAAAACACUAUUUUCACCAAUUUGGAUUUCAACUCAGCAGAGGCUGUGACUCUGUGUGACCUGGCCAUGAAAAGAAAACACGAAUACAACACACACACACACACACACACACACACACACACACACACACACACACACACACACACACACACACACACACACACACACACACACACACACACACACACACACACACACACACACAGACACAGAGAGAGAGAGAGAGAGAGAGAGAGAGAGAGAGAGAGAGAGAGAGUAGAACUUGGUUCCGGUAAAUGUAGUUUUUUUUUUAAAAAAAGAUGCUACUUGAUGAUCUUGCCACGACUUGCAACGGUAUUGGUGGGCGAGAUGCGAGGCAUGACCAGAUCUUGUCGCGUGGACGCCCAUCACCUGACAAAUCUGAGCCAACCAUGCAAAGUGAUCUGCUAUUCUCUCCUCUUUCAUAUGAAAUGCACAUCUCAAAUCUCCCUUCUUAAUCCAGUCGGAGACAGCUUAGAUUACAGGCAUGCAACACUCAGCAAGUUCAGAAAAGCGUAAUUCAGGCUUAGCUAGCUGCGCUCAUUUCUCUGGUCAUGAGUUUGCACCAGCAAACUCUUAUUUGUGGAAUACAUAUUGUUUCAUAUCAUGCAUAAAAAGAAUCCAUCAUGCAGGCCUUUACCCUAAAGCUCAGAGAACAAGGUUUUCUAUGUUACGAUAAUCUAAGGGUUUAUUUUGGACAUUGUAUCACGCCAUCACCAAGCAAUUCAGAAAUUGCUCAGGUUACAAAGCAUAGGACAGAUGGAUGUCACCUACUAUUUCUGCACCAUAGAAAUGGGCUCCUGCAAAUUUUUUUUCUAGAAAAGAAUGUCUGGAGAUGGUCAGAUGGACACCAGGUGAAUUCUGAUUUGCAGGAAGAUAGAGAUUGCCUUUUUCUUUUCUUUUCUUUACUUUUCUUUUCUUUGUGCUGUGUUUAAUUGGUCUGAGGUUGAUGGCAUCAUCUGUCACAUUUUCAGCCAUUUAAUUAGAAAUUUUAAUAUAACAGGAUAAGGCAAGCAACCUCUAGGGAUUGGCUGCUGAUGUUGUGCCUAUUUUUUUUUUUUUUAGAAAGGCGGCAAGAGCUUUGCCGUAUUUUUAUUAGACGAGGAAAAAGAAAAACAGAAAAUAUUUACAACAACUUACAUAGCAACUCGACUUUAAACUACUAUGUUGUGCCUAUCAGCUUGGAAAAUUUCACAUAUAUAAACUAACCAAAGGGAAUACAUAGAACUGUUCAUGAUACAAAGCUUUGUUGAUCUGGUGGAAUGGGACAGGUCACCAUUCAUCAAAUAGGUAGGUCAGACAUUCAAACGUGUGACUUCUAAGAUAGAAUCAAAUCUCAUAACUGUAGUGUCUACUUGAUGUUGUGCUACUCUCCAAGAUCAGCAUGAAUUCCAUCUGCUCAUGUUAGAUGUAAGCUUUAUGCCAUUUAUUAUUCAGGAACAAAAGAAUAAGUUUCGUGAUAUUCCGAGAUGAGAUUUCAACAAAGCUUACUGGUCCUGGGUCUGGGCUUUGCUGCUACCAGUAAUUAAACAGUUAGUAUGCAAUGUUAGUUGGAAGUGCAAGGACCAUGAGGCACAUGUGAGAUUCGCUAACAGAUUUGAGCAGACAUUGGGGCUGGAACCUUUAAGGCUUUGUGUAAUUGAGCCGUUGAUGUUAGUUUCGUUUGUAUGGCGAAUCAGAAAAAUGUUGAAAGAACUUGACGGUUGACAGUUAAAAUUUCAGAGGGAACAAUCCAGCUUUCUUCAGAAAAAAAAAAGAAGUCGUGCCCAGUCUCUCCAGAAAACUAUAUAGCAAAAUAAAAAGUUCAACUACUAACUGAGUAUAUGAUAGCGCCAAUGAGUUCCUAUUGACAUCUAAAGAAAUGAUCACCACAUAAACGAAAUCCAAGUACAGCUACCUUGCAAGCUAGAAAAUUUUCAGAAAAGCCUGGUUGCACUUAUACAGAAUAAAAUAAAAGAACAACAACAAGAAGAGUUGUUCCCAACUAACUUGUCACCAUAUUUAAGGAGGUUCUAUGCUACCUUCUUGGAAGAUUUAGCUCCCUCUGCUUCCUGCCCCUCUAAACCAAACUGCUUGUUCUCAUCUGCUUCUACUGUGCUCUUCAUCUUCAGAGUGAACUUUGGUCUAAACGAUUCAGAAGCGAAAGCUGCUAGUCGGAGUUGUACAACUGAGAGAAUAAUUCCAGAGGUAAGAUGGCGGCUGUAGGCUUUGUUUUUCCUGUUUGCGAUCCAUUCUACUGUAUGCAUAGGCCUCUGGAAAUCUUUUCUUCAAUAUCAACAUUCAGGAGAUAUGUGCAUCCUUGGCAUUCAUGCAAAUUGUACCCUUGUUGUCUCUUUUACCCUUGCCAUGUUUUAGUGUAUCUUUUGUAGCAUGAAAGCUAAAAUCUUUUCUUCGAACUCCAAGAACAUUUGAUCUUACUCUACAUUCUUGCAGAGCUCUUUCUCUUUUGUCAAAGGGUUUCACCAAUGGCGAUAAAGAUGAAGGGGAUCUUCAAAGGACUGAAGAUAUUUUCUCAAAUGUUUGGUAAUAAUCCCAUCCAUCCUUCUAUAUUUUUAUUUUAUUUCUGCAUUUUUGCAUUACUUGACUUGAGUUUCUGUGAAUUGGUUUUUACAUCCAUAUUCUAAAAGCAGUACCAACUUAAAAGCAUACGGUGAAAGCACAAGUACCUGACUAGACAUCUGCUCUUUUGCAGUGCAUAAGGAACAUGAGAUGGAGAUUGGGUACCCUACAGAUGUAAAGCAUGUGGCCCACAUAGGUCUGGGCACCAGUGACACAUCUCCAAGCUGGGUAAGAAUAUCAUAACAAUAAGCAGCAUUAACUAUGCUGCAUGAGUUUACAUUAUUCAAAUAGUUCUUUUAACUGAUGGUAAUGUACUUUUUUGUUUUACUUUUAGAUGGCUGAAUUCAAGGGGACAGAUGAUUUAUCAGCAGGCUCUGUGAGCACAGCCGCGCAGUCAAGGCAGACUUCUUGGGCCUCUGCAGGUGAUUCUCACCUCUGCUCUGACAUUUGUUUGCCCUUCAAAAAUAUUCAGUCAAGACAAAAAAGGAAAACAGAGUAACUAAAUGUCAUGAUCAGUCAAUACUUCCAGAAAGAUAAAUAAACAAAGUUGAUGUCCCAUACGACAUUCCAGCCACGCCCUUAAACAAAUAUGUGCCUCAUAAUCAUACAGACAGCACGAGUGAUCAUUUGUGCUUAUGAUUAGGCGCCUGAAUCUUCUUGUCCUAUUUCAUAAUGACAUUAGUGGCACACCACUACACGUCUACACCAAGGACUCUACCUCUUGGUCGCUUGCAUGUAUGCAACUUGUAAUGAACAAAAAUCAGUGUAGAGAGGAUCUCACAGAUCCUUUUCGAUCUCAAAUUUCUAAAUUUAAAUUCGUUGCAGACUUCGAGCAGCCAAGAAGCAUGCUGCCCAUUGAGAUGUUCCAGGACAGCAGGCCCGGGCAAGAGAACCCAGACAUGGCAA